GGGAUAACAGUUAGAAAUGACUGCUAAUACCGCAUAAGCGCACAAAACCGCAUGGUUUGGUGUGAAAAACUGAGGUGGUAUGAGAUGGACCCGCGUCUGAUUAGCUAGUUGGAGAGGUAACGGCUCACCAAGGCAACGAUCAGUAGCCGACCUGAGAGGGUGACCGGCCACAUUGGGACUGAGACACGGCCCAAACUCCUACGGGAGGCAGCAGUGGGGAAUAUUGCACAAUGGGGGAAACCCUGAUGCAGCAACGCCGCGUGAGUGAAGAAGUAUUUCGGUAUGUAAAGCUCUAUCAGCAGGGAAGAAGAGAGACGGUACCUGACUAAGAAGCCCCGGCUAACUACGUGCCAGCAGCCGCGGUAAUACGUAGGGGGCAAGCGUUAUCCGGAUUUACUGGGUGUAAAGGGAGCGUAGACGGCUUGAUAAGUCUGAAGUGAAAGGCCAAGGCUUAACCAUGGAACUGCUUUGGAAACUAUGAGGCUAGAGUGCUGGAGAGGUAAGCGGAAUUCCUAGUGUAGCGGUGAAAUGCGUAGAUAUUAGGAGGAACACCAGUGGCGAAGGCGGCUUACUGGACAGAAACUGACGUUGAGGCUCGAAAGCGUGGGGAGCAGACAGGAUUAGAUACCCUGGUAGUCCACGCGGUAAACGAUGAAUGCUAGGUGUUGGUGGGCAAAGCCCAUCGGUGCCGUCG
rnacentral:rRNA from 1 species